ACACUGAAGUAAAAAUAAUUUACAUUUAGUUUCGACCUAAAUUUAGGAAAACUCCUUGUG
rnacentral:tRNA from 1 species